rnacentral:sRNA from 2 species
CAAUCAAAUUAUGGACCCAUGAAAGGGGGCAGUUUUGGUGGAAGAAGCUCGGGCAGUCCCUAUGGUGGUGGUUAUGGAUCUGGUGGUGGAAGUGGUGGAUAUGGUAGCAGAAGGUUCUAAAAACAGCAGAAAAGGGUAGGUAUCUUUAAAUUUUUAUUAUGAUGAUAAAAGAAUAUGUGGAACUGUUCACUGAGUGUAAUAAUUUUUUUAUCCUGUAUUAUUCAACAGGCUACAGUUCUUAGCAGGAGAGAGAGCGAGGAGUUGUCAGGAAAGCUGCAGGUUACUUUGAGACAGUCGUCCCAAAUGCAUUAGAGGAACUGUAAAAAUCUGCCACAGAAGGAACGAUGAUCCAUAGUCAGAAAAGUUACUGCAGCUUAAACAGGAAACCCUUCUUGUUCAGGACUGUCAUAGCCACAGUUUGCAAAAAGUGCAGCUAUUGAUUAAUGCAAUGUAGUGUCAAUUAGAUGUACAUUCCUGAGGUCUUUUAUCUGUUGUAGCUUUGUCUUUUUCUUUUUCUUUUCAUUACAUCAGGUAUAUUGCCCUGUAAAUUGUGGUAGUGGUACCAGGAAUAAAAAAUUAAGGAAUUUUUAACUUUUCAAUAUUUGUGUAGUUCAGUUUUUCUACAUU